rnacentral:rRNA from 1 species
AGCGAACGCUGGCGGCAGGCCUAACACAUGCAAGUCGAACGAAGUCUUCGGACUUAGUGGCGGACGGGUGAGUAACACGUGGGAACGUACCUUUUGGUUCGGAACAACUCAGGGAAACUUGAGCUAAUACCGGAUGAGCCCUUAGGGGGAAAGAUUUAUCGCCGAAAGAGCGGCCCGCGUUAGAUUAGCUAGUUGGUGAGGUAAAGGCUCACUAAGGCUACGAUCUAUAGCUGGUCUGAGAGGAUGAUCAGCCACACUGGGACGGAGACACGGCCCAGAGUCCUCCUGGGGGCAGCAGUGGGGAAUCUUGCGCAAUGGGCCAAAGCCUGACGCAGCCAUGCCGCGUGAAUGAUGAAGGUCUUAGGAUUGUAAAAUUCUUUUACCAGGGACUACAAUGACGGUCCCUUGAGAAAAAGCCCCGGCUAACUUCGUGCCAGCAGCCGCCGUAAUAC